UCUGCCAUUUACUCAUUUUAUUUUUUUUUAAUAUUGAUUUUGAAUGGCAUGUUGAUUUUUCAUGGGUUACGUGGUGUUUAAAACAAGGUUUAAUGGACAAUUACAUGAUAACAAACAAGGGAAAGAAAGAACAGAAACACGAAACACAAAAAACUUAGUGAGUAAAGUGAAGGUGAAAUAUUAUUUUUACAAUUUCUUUUAUUAUUUUAAAUGUACAAAAUCCAUUCACAAUUUCAACAUCCUUAAAAUGACUAUCUUAUCUUUUAAGUAGGUGUUUGGACAUAUAUUUUAAGAAAAGAAAUAAUGUUAUUUGAUUUUUAAGAAGAUUGAGAUGUGUUUUAUUAUACUUAUUGCGAAGACUAUUUGUACCAAUAUUCAUGCUUUAAUUUACAACUUAAAAAAUGACAAGUAGGAUGGAAAACAAUUUUAAAUUUGAUAUACAACUUCAAGUUGAAUAACUGUAUUUGGAACUUUCAUUAUCAUAUAUAUUGAUUUUCAAAUAAAAUAAAAUAUCAUUCCAAACAAUACUAAAUUUGGAGGGAACUUUUUACAAUACUUAUUCGCUUAACUAUAAUUCUGAUACUUGUUAAUGCAAUAUAAUCCUAAAUAAGACGCAUAUUUCGUAUCUUAAACAUGUACUUGACAAACUAGAAACAAAGUGUAAUGAAGGGGAGCCAAAUCUACCGAAGUCAUCACAAACUCAAUUAUUUUACAUUAGCCAUUAAAAAAAAGGACCUGAUUUGUCAAUGACAACUAAUCAACCAUGUUUAGAAAGCAAAAAAAUGCAAGUAGCUCCAUGUUUGAAAUAGUCAACUUUGUAGUUUGUCAACGAUGAGUUCCAUUAUUUUUUAAUUUAAUAGAAAAGAAGAAACCCAAAGAAAAGACAGGAUAUUUCUAUGCAAGUAGAUUUUUGCUUAAUCAACUAGCUAGAGACCAAAAGGUGGGAGACUAGAGAGUCUAGAGACAAUGCAGCCAUGGAUGACAUUAGGUGCUUCAUUGGUGGCAAAAGUUGUUGACUAUACAGUGGCCCCUCUCGGGAAUCAACUAAGAUAUCUUUAUCAGUAUAACAAAAAUGCCGAAAAUCUGAGAAAGCAAGCUGAAAGGUUGCAGGAGAAGACUGAUGAUAUCCAAGCAUUGGUGAACUACGCCAAAA